AGCGUACACGGUGGAUGCCCUGGCAGUCAGAGGCGAUGAAGGACGUGCUAAUCUGCGAAAAGCGUCGGUAAGGUGAUAUGAACCGUUAUAACCGGCGAUGUCCGAAUGGGGAAACCCAGUGCAAUUCGUUGCACUAUCGUUAACUGAAUACAUAGGUUAACGAGGCGAACCGGGGGAACUGAAACAUCUAAGUACCCCGAGGAAAAGAAAUCAACCGAGAUUCCCCCAGUAGCGGCGAGCGAACGGGGAGCAGCCCAGAGUCUGAAUCAGCUUGUGUGUUAGUGGAAMGGUCUGGAAAGUCCGACGGUACAGGGUGAUAGUCCCGUACACCAAAAUGCACAGGUUGUGAACUCGAAGAGUAGGGCGGGACACGUGGUAUCCUGUCUGAAUAUGGGGGGACCAUCCUCCAAGGCUAAAUACUCCUGACUGACCGAUAGUGAACCAGUACCGUGAGGGAAAGGCGAAAAGAACCCCGGCGAGGGGAGUGAAAAAGAACCUGAAACCGUGUACGUACAAGCAGUGGGAGCACCUUCGGGUGUGACUGCGUACCUUUUGUAUAAUGGGUCAGCGACUUAUAUUCUGUAGCAAGGUUAACCGUAUAGGGGAGCCGCAGGGAAACCGAGUCUUAACUGGGCGUUAAGUUGCAGGGUAUAGACCCGAAACCCGGUGAUCUAGCCAUGGGCAGGUUGAAGGUUGGGUAACACUAACUGGAGGACCGAACCGACUAAUGUUGAAAAAUUAGCGGAUGACUUGUGGCUGGGGGUGAAAGGCCAAUCAAACCGGGAGAUAGCUGGUUCUCCCCGAAAGCUAUUUAGGUAGCGCCUCGUGAACUCAUCUUCGGGGGUAGAGCACUGUUUCGGCUAGGGGGUCAUCCCGACUUACCAACCCGAUGCAAACUACGAAUACCGAAGAAUGUUAUCACGGGAGACACACGGCGGGUGCUAACGUCCGUCGUGAAGAGGGAAACAACCCAGACCGCCAGCUAAGGUCCCAAAGUCAUGGUUAAGUGGGAAACGAUGUGGGAAGGCACAGACAGCCAGGAUGUUGGCUUAGAAGCAGCCAUCAUUUAAAGAAAGCGUAAUAGCUCACUGGUCGAGUCGGCCUGCGCGGAAGAUGUAACGGGGCUAAACCAUGCACCGAAGCUGCGGCAGCGACACUAUGUGUUGUUGGGUAGGGGAGCGUUCUGUAAGCCUGCGAAGGUGUGCUGUGAGGCAUGCUGGAGGUAUCAGAAGUGCGAAUGCUGACAUAAGUAACGAUAAAGCGGGUGAAAAGCCCGCUCGCCGGAAGACCAAGGGUUCCUGUCCAACGUUAAUCGGGGCAGGGUGAGUCGACCCCUAAGGCGAGGCCGAAAGGCGUAGUCGAUGGGAAACAGGUUAAUAUUCCUGUACUUGGUGUUACUGCGAAGGGGGGACGGAGAAGGCUAUGUUAGCCGGGCGACGGUUGUCCCGGUUUAAGCAUGUAGGCUGAUUAUCCAGGCAAAUCCGGAUAAUCAAGGCUGAGGUGUGAUGACGAGGCACUACGGUGCUGAAGUAACAAAUGCCCUGCUUCCAGGAAAAGCCUCUAAGCAUCAGGUAACAUUAAAUCGUACCCCAAACCGACACAGGUGGUCAGGUAGAGAAUACCAAGGCGCUUGAGAGAACUCGGGUGAAGGAACUAGGCAAAAUGGUGCCGUAACUUCGGGAGAAGGCACGCUGGUGUGUAGGUGAAGCCCCUGCGGGUGGAGCUGAGACCAGUCGAAGAUACCAGCUGGCUGCAACUGUUUAUUAAAAACACAGCACUGUGCAAACACGAAAGUGGACGUAUACGGUGUGACGCCUGCCCGGUGCCGGAAGGUUAAUUGAUGGGGUUAUCCGUAAGGAGAAGCUCUUGAUCGAAGCCCCGGUAAACGGCGGCCGUAACUAUAACGGUCCUAAGGUAGCGAAAUUCCUUGUCGGGUAAGUUCCGACCUGCACGAAUGGCGUAAUGAUGGCCAGGCUGUCUCCACCCGAGACUCAGUGAAAUUGAACUCGCUGUGAAGAUGCAGUGUACCCGCGGCAAGACGGAAAGACCCCGUGAACCUUUACUAUAGCUUGACACUGAACAUUGAGCCUUGAUGUGUAGGAUAGGUGGGAGGCUUUGAAGCGUGGACGCCAGUCUGCGUGGAGCCAACCUUGAAAUACCACCCUUUAAUGUUUGAUGUUCUAACGUUGGCCCCUGACCGGGGUUGCGGACAGUGUCUGGUGGGUAGUUUGACUGGGGCGGUCUCCUCCCAAAGCGUAACGGAGGAGCACGAAGGUUAGCUAAUCCUGGUCGGACAUCAGGAGGUUAGUGCAAUGGCAUAAGCUAGCUUGACUGCGAGCGUGACGGCGCGAGCAGGUGCGAAAGCAGGUCAUAGUGAUCCGGUGGUUCUGAAUGGAAGGGCCAUCGCUCAACGGAUAAAAGGUACUCCGGGGAUAACAGGCUGAUACCGCCCAAGAGUUCAUAUCGACGGCGGUGUUUGGCACCUCGAUGUCGGCUCAUCACAUCCUGGGGCUGAAGUAGGUCCCAAGGGUAUGGCUGUUCGCCAUUUAAAGUGGUACGCGAGCUGGGUUUAGAACGUCGUGAGACAGUUCGGUCCCUAUCUGCCGUGGGCGCUGGAGAAUUGAGGGGGGCUGCUCCUAGUACGAGAGGACCGGAGUGGACGCAUCACUGGUGUUCGGGUUGUCAUGCCAAUGGCACUGCCCGGUAGCUAAAUGCGGAAGAGAUAAGUGCUGAAAGCAUCUAAGCACGAAACUUGCCCCGAGAUGAGUUCU
rnacentral:rRNA from 1 species